GACGAACGCUGGCGGCAUGCCUAAUACAUGCAAGUCGAGCGAACAGAUGAAGUGCUUGCACUUCUGACGUUAGCGGCGAACGGGUGAGUAACACGUAAGGAAUCUACCUAUAAGCGGGGGAUAACAUUCGGAAACGGGUGCUAAUACCGCAUAAUAUCUUCUUCCGCAUGGAAGAAGAUUGAAAGACGGCUCUGCUGUCACUUAUAGAUGACCUUGCGGUGCAUUAGUUAGUUGGUGGGGUAAUGGCCUACCAAGACGAUGAUGCAUAGCCGACCUGGGAGGGGGAUCGGCCACAAUGGGACUGAGACACGGCCCAAACUCCUACGGGAGGCAGCAGUAGGGAAUCUUCCGCAAUGGGCGAAAGCCUGACGGAGCAAUGCCGCGUGAGUGAAGAAGGCCUUCGGGUCGUAAAACUCUGUUAUAAGAGAAGAACAAAUUGUAGAGUAACUGCUACAGUCUUGACGGUAUCUUAUCAGAAAGCCACGGCUAACUACGUGCCAGCAGCCGCCGUAA
rnacentral:rRNA from 1 species